rnacentral:rRNA from 1 species
ACGAACGCUGGCGGCGUGCUUCACACCUGCCAGUCGUACGGUAAGGCCCUUUCGGGGGUACACGAGUGGCGAACGGGUGAGUAACACGUGAGUAACCUGCCCACAACUUUGGGAUAACGCUAGGAAACUGGUGCUAAUACUGGAUAUGUGCUCCUGCUGCAUGGUGGGGGUUGGAAAGCUCCGGCGGUUGUGGAUGGACUCGCGGCCUAUCAGCUUGUUGGUGGGGUAGUGGCCUACCAAGGCGGCGACGGGUAGCCGGCCUGAGAGGGUGACCGGCCACAUUGGGACUGAGAUACGGCCCAGACUCCUACGGGAGGCAGCAGUGGGGAAUAUUGCACAAUGGGCGCAAGCCUGAUGCAGCAACGCCGCGUGCGGGAGGACGGCCUUCGGGUUGUAAACCGCUUUCAGCAGGGACGAAGCUUUUUGUGACGGUACCUGCAGAAGAAGCACCGGCUAACUACGUG